UACGAAGGGGGCUAGCGUUGCUCGGAAUCACUGGGCGUAAAGGGUGCGUAGGCGGGUCUUUAAGUCAGGGGUGAAAUCCUGGAGCUCAACUCCAGAACUGCCUUUGAUACUGAGGAUCUUGAGUCCGGGAGAGGUGAGUGGAACUGCGAGUGUAGAGGUGAAAUUCGUAGAUAUUCGCAAGAACACCAGUGGCGAAGGCGGCUCACUGGCCCGGUACUGACGCUCAUGCACGAAAGCGUGGGGAGCAAACAGG
rnacentral:rRNA from 1 species